rnacentral:ncRNA from 2 species
UGCCAACUUGCGGGGUGCCCGGCAUAGCCGAGCUGAGAUAGACCCGUUGACCUGAUCCGGUUAGUACCGGCGUAGGGAACAAGGCCAGUCCGGGGU